ensembl:lncRNA
GUGAGAAGGUGAAAUCCUCCCCCUUCUCACUGUCUCGCAUUAGAGCUUUUAUUAUUAUUAUUAUUAUUAUAUUGUGUGUGUGUAUUAGAUUGGGCUGGUGGAAGUUAGUCUUCCGUCCCGGUAGGGGGCAGUAUAGUAACGUUAGCUUUAGGUAAAUGUUCCCCCAGCUAAUGGUCUGGCCCAUAUGGCCGUGAUUGGUCCAAUUACCAUUUCCCUAUUUAAGGGCCUUUUCAUUUGGUGUUUGGGGCUGAAGGUGGUGCUGGCUUGGAGUGAGGCCAGUACGAGAAACGUAUGUUAUGGUAUGCUGUUUUAUGUUAUCUUUGUUUGGUUUUCUGACUGAUGCAGUCAUUUCCUUUUCAUUUUUGAACGUUGCUCUGUUUUUGUGAAUGUUUGGAGAGAUUAAAACUUCACUUUUCUUAGUCGUCAGUCCAUUGCCCUCAUUCUUGCCCACACUCGCGAUACCCAGUUGCCCGUAUCCCAGACACGUGGGGCGACCACGCCGGUCCCUCACAUUUGGUGGCAGUGGUGGGAUCUUUUUUUUCGACGCUUCUGAGGAACUGGAGAGACGAGGGGGAAGACGAGGACUCGGUGGACAGCGAGGACGAGGCCGAAUCUGGCGACGAAUGGAGCAGACACUGUCCCGCGGUGUUCUACUGCAGAUCGAGGAGGAAGACGGCCAUGGAGAGGACCAGGCAUCCAGCGGAGGCCCGCCUGAGGAGUCGGACCUUGCCGCAGUGCGUAGGCUCUUCGAGCGGGAGGCGUCCAAGCAGGAGCAGCGCUGGAGGAGUGUCCAGAUGCAGCUGAACCAGCUCAGGGAGGACGUUGAGGCUGAUCGGAGGCCUUCGUCUGCACCAGAUCCAGCACCAGCUCCGGCAUUGGCACAUGCACCAGCACCUGCACCAGCAACUGCGCCUGUGACCUGGCCCAGGGCGGCCAUUCCCAGGCUGGAAGAGGAUGACGACAUUUGAGCAGUACCUCAGGACAUUUGUGAGGUUAGCAAUGGCUUUGGCUGGCCAAGAGAGGAUUGGGCCGUCUUUAUAGUACCCUACCUCGCCGGCAAAGCACGCAGCGCCUAUGUGGCGAUGAACAUGGGUCAUGCCACUGAUCCCCUUGGUAAAGCGGCCUUUCUGUGAUUGUGUAACAGAGGCUGCUAAGGGGGAGACAGGGGGCGUGACCCCUUCGUUGUGGAUCACCGCGCCUCACAGUGGCUGGGUAGCAUGAAGGACUCGAAUGCUCGCAUCACCCGCUGGUUCUUGGCACUGCAACCAUUGCGUUUCAGGGUGCAGUACCGAGCGGGAAGGCAGAAUACUGAGGCAGACUUUUUGUCUCGCCAUCCUGUUGGUGAAACUCCAGAGGUGGUGGGAAAUGUGAGAAGGUGAAAUCCUCCACCUUCUCACUGUCUCGCAUUAGAGCUUUUAUUAUUAUUAUUAUUAUUAUUAUAUUGUGUGUGUGUAUUAGAUUGGGCUGGUGGAAGUUAGUCUUCCGUCCCGGUAGGGGGCAGUAUAGUAACGUUAGCUUUAGGUAAAUGUUCCCCCAGCUAAUGGUCUGGCCCAUAUGGCCGUGAUUGGUCCAAUUACCAUUUCCCUAUUUAAGGGCCUUUUCAUUUGGUGUUUGGGGCUGAAGGUGGUGCUGGCUUGGAGUGAGGCCAGUACGAGAAACGUAUGUUAUGGAGCCCACCUUCUCCUCCACGGUCUCGCUUGCUUCUGAGCUCCCGCUCUACACCUACCCCGCCAGCGAGCCCAGCAGCCAGAGUCGUGACACCCUUGUGCACAAGUUGCAUGACAAGCAGCUGCAGGUUUUCACCAACUUCCUUGCAUGCUUUGUGAAGCCAGAAAACCUGCCACCAAUCCCCAGGAUCCUAGCAGGUCUCGAACUCAAGGGAGACAAACUGCUGCCUGCAAGAGACCUGUAUGUGUGUCGAGUGGCAGAUAGAUUCAGACGGGAGCAUCCUCAACACCAUCUGCUGAAGCCCUUCCUGGACCAAGGCAUACAUCACAUGUGGGGAAUACCUGCAGAGCAAGCUGCCACAGGAGAGCGUGACCCUGCAGUGCCCGUCUGCUGUUGACCCUAUUGCAAGGGGGCACUCCAAGACUGGACGUCUGCUGAGACGACUUGCGGAGAUGUUUACCCAGUUUCUCCCUGCUGAUGGGGAUGUUCAGCAAGAGGUUCUCCAGUAUGGCGUAGACCAGAGCCUGCAAACUUUCAGAGAAGGAGAUGAUGCUGUCAGCUGGUGGGCAGCUGUCUUUGAAACGGGAAGACUCGAAAAGUGGCAGCAUGAACAUUUCCACUCUGAGUGCCAUGCAAACUGUCGAACACACCUUGCUGACCCGGAAGCAGACUGCAGUGGAGAUGUUCAAAAGAGAAGACCUUAAGUUAAUAAAGAGUUUGCAGGUCUGCAGAAGGGCCCCCGUGUACACCCGGAAAUUGUUGACAUAGCCUGUCUUGCUCUCCGCCAUCACCCACACCUUUACUCCCCACUUCACCGGCUUCAUGGGGAGGUACUGCCGGAAGGCCAGGCAUCCCUUGAACUUGACCAUGGACUCAUCCACGGUCACAAAGCCAUUGACCUCAUAGAGAUCCUGGAAUCUGACGAGGAGGUCCAUGAAUCCCUUAAGCUUCAAGGGAUCCCGCAUUUCCAUUACCUUGUACACGUCCCGCAAAUUGAGACGUUGUCCCGCAUUGUUAUUAGGGCUGGCCCGAAUUAUUCGAAUAUUCAAAUACUCGUUGGGAAAAUUAGUAUUCAAAGCUUAAAUGAGUAUUCGGGAGCUUCGUUGUUUCACGUAGGGCCUACGUGACGUUACCAGAGCGAGGGAGGCAAACUAUAAGCGACACUAAGCAGAGAAGCGAGAGAGGUGGAGGAAGAAUAGAUAUCUUGUUUCCCUUUACUUUAUAACAACAUUAGCGGGAUCUCGGGAGGAAAAUACAUGCUUAGUGAAAUGCUAACCUAAGCUUAGUUGUUUGUUUACGUUCGCCGUACAGCGCCGCGCAAAUCAACUGUGACUGGCUUGCUGCAGAGUGUGAGCGUCUUGCAAAUACCCGGUCAAUAUAAUGGAUAUAAUAUGGACACAUAAGACAAUCAAUAUUCGUUAUUUGCUAUGGAAUUAUUGUACAAAUUCCCUGAAAAGAUGCACGUUCCAGAAUGAAUUGAAAAGCUCCCCCUAAGGGCUGAGAUGGCAGAGGACAGCUGAUUUUGUACGGAACAACAGCUGUUCGCUUCCACGGGGAAAAACUAAGUAAAUCCAACUUACUUAGGCCUACUAAUUGAUGUUCAAAAGCUAUUAAAUCUUCAACAAAAUAUGCAGAUGCUGUCAAAAUUGGUUCCAGGGAGUAUAUAGUGAUUAUUAAUGUUGUUUUUGAUGGUGUGUUUUUCUGGAAUGAGUAUUCGAAUUUUCGCUCGGAAAAACCAACGAGUAAUCGAAGCCAAAAA